AACGAACGCUGGCGGCAGGCCUAACACAUGCAAGUCGAACGAAGUCUUCGGACUUAGUGGCGCACGGGUGAGUAACACGUGGGAAUAUACCUUACGCUGGGGGAUAACAUCGGGAAACUGAUGCUAAUACCGCAUACGCCCUUCGGGGGAAAGAUUUAUCGGCGAAAGAUUAGCCCGCGUCCGAUUAGCUAGUUGGCGAGGUAAUGGCUCACCAAGGCUCCGAUCGGUAGCUGGUCUGAGAGGAUGACCAGCCACACUGGGACUGAGACACGGCCCAGACUCCUACGGGAGGCAGCAGUGGGGAAUAUUGGACAAUGGGCGCAAGCCUGAUCCAGCCAGGCCGCGUGAGUGAUGAAGGCCUUAGGGUUGUAAAGCUCUUUCACCCACGACGAUGAUGACGGUAGUGGGAGAAGAAGCCCCGGCUAACUUCGUG
rnacentral:rRNA from 1 species